ensembl:lincRNA Gm11515 predicted gene 11515
GACAGUGGAGAGACCUGCCCGCCCCCAGGGGCUCUUCGGAGCCUCGUCGAAAGGCAACCCAGGCCUCCUUGGAAUGUGGCUGAUCAGGCUCCUACAGACACCAACUGACUUGAGGGAGGUUGCAGGUAGCCGAAGAGCAGAGUUUCAGCUUGAGCCUUCACACCAGAUGGAUUUGAAUCUUAAGCGACACCAAAGGACCUUCGCAGCUUUAGGAGGAGUCCCAGCACCGCCCCUGGAAUUUCGCCCUGCUGUCUCUGUGCACUGCAGGUUGGCUUAGCACAAAAGCCACCUGACUCCACCCACCGCUCUUGGCACGUGCGGGAGUCCCAGUCCCUAACCUAGUCCUGGCCCGCCGCCACGUCCCGAGGGGAGCGACCUCUAAUCCCCGGGGCUCCUCGGAAAACCAUUAGGCAGCGGGACCGCGCCCCGCGGGUCCCACCCGGCCAUUUGGGAGCCCGCUCCCGCCGCCCCCACUUCUGUCCCUCUCCAUCGUCGCCGGAUAUCUACCGCAGCGACUGUCUGCUCGAACCCGGGACCGCAAGGCUGGCCUCUAGCCUGCCGUGCCUGUCCGGCGAGGCCAGGAGCGUUGGGUCCACGCCUUGGCUCUCUGUCACUGGCUGCCCUUGCCCUGCCAGUUUUGUGCUAGACUCUUUAUUCGCCCCCAACCCCAACCCGCGUGGCCGGCCUGGAGGAAGUGUCCA